GGCUUGAUCCCAGGACCCUGAGAUCAUGACCUGAGCCGAAGGCAGAGGCUUAACCCACUGAGCCACCCCAGGCGCCCUGGUUCAAUGCUUUUCAACAAAAGUGCCAAGCCAAUAUCCUCACCCUAACGUCUAACUGGCAUUAGGCAAACACCUAUUCUGACACUGUGGAUCAAUACUGACUGUUCUAGAAUUUCAGGUUUUAUUCAUUUAUAUGAGAGAGAGAGAGCACACGCGCUGUCAGAGGGAGAAGCAGACUCCCAGUGGAGCUGGGAGCCCGAUGUGGAACUCUAUCCUGAGACUCUGGGAUCAUGACCUGAGCCCAAGGCAAUUGCCUAACCAACUGAGCCACCUAGGCGCCCGUAUACCCCCAAUUUAUAUACCCAGUCACCUGCUGGUCAGUUUUAUGCAUCAACUUGACUAAACUAUCAUACCCUCUUAUUCAAACACUAAUGAAGAUGUGGCUGUGAAGGCAUCUUGUAGAGUGAUUAAAACCAAUAAUCAGUUGCCUUUAUAUAAAGAUUACUCUCAGCUAUGUGGGUGGGCUUGAUCCCAUCACUUGAAAGGCCUUAGGAGCAGAACCGGGGUUUCCCUGAAAACGUUCUGCCUAUGGACCGCAGCUUCAGCUCCUGCCAGAGACCUUCCUAUUUGCUUUUCUUGAUGACCUGCUUUGUGGGUUUCAGACUUGGGGUUAGCCCCCAUUACUACAUAAGCCAAUUCCUUGUGAUAUGUCCCUGAUACACCCUUUGAUGGAUAUUUGGGUAGUUUUCAGUUUUACAUGUAUGUUAUGAAUAAAAAUGUCAUGAACAUUAGAGAGGAAGUCUUUGCAUGGACAUAUAUUUUAGUUUUCCUUUUCCUUUAAAAAAAUUAUUUAUUUACCUGACAGAGAGAGUCACAGCGAAACAGGGAACACAAGCCUGGGGAAUGCGAGAGGGAGAAGCAGGCUUUGCGCUUAGCGGGGAACCCGAUGUGGGGCUUGAUCUCAGGAACCCAGGAUCAUAAUCUGAAGUCUGAUGCUUAAUGACUGAGCCACCGAGGCAUCCCUGUUUCAGUUUUUCUUUGACAAAUACUUAGUAGUAGAAUUGCUGGAUCAUUUUGUAAGCCUAUAUUAAACUUCAUGUGAA